rnacentral:rRNA from 1 species
AACGAACGCUGGCGGCAUGCCUAACACAUGCAAGUCGAACGAGACCUUCGGGUCUAGUUGCGCACGGGUUCGUAACGCGAGGGAACCUUCCCUUAGGUGCGGAAUAACUCCCCGAAAGGGGUGCUAAUACCGGAUAAUGGCUUCUGACCAAAGAUUUAUCGCCUUUGGAUGGGCCCGCGUUGGAUUAGCUAUUUGGUAGGGUAAAAGACUACCAAGGCGACGAUCCAUAGCUGGUCUGAGAGGAUGAUCAGCCACACUGGGACUGAGACACGGCCCAGACUCCUACGGGAGGAAGAAGUGGGGAAUAUUGGACAAUGGGCGAAAGCAUGAUCCAGCAAUGCCGCGUGAGUGAUGAAGGACUUAGGGUUGUAAAGCUCUUUUACAAGGGAUGAUAAUGACAGUACCGGGAGAAUAAGCUCCGGCUAACUCCGUG